ACUCCUGCGGGAGGCAGCAGUGGGGAAUUUUGGACAAUGGGCGAAAGCCUGAUCCAGCAAUGCCGCGUGAGUGAAGAAGGCCUUCGGGUUGUAAAGCUCUUUUGUCAGGGAAGAAACGGUGAGAGCUAAUAUCUCUUGCUAAUGACGGUACCUGAAGAAUAAGCACCGGCUAACUACGUGCCAGCAGCCGCGGUAAUACGUAGGGUGCAAGCGUUAAUCGGAAUUACUGGGCGUAAAGCGUGCGCAGGCGGUUUUGUAAGUCUGAUGUGAAAUCCCCAGGCUCAACCUGGGAAUUGCAUUGGAGACUGCAAGGCUAGAAUCUGGCAGAGGGGGGUAGAAUUCCACGUGUAGCAGUGAAAUGCGUAGAUAUGUGGAGGAACACCGAUGGCGAAGGCAGCCCCCUGGGUCAAGAUUGACGCUCAUGCACGAAAGCGUGGGGAGCAAACAGGAUUAGAUACCCCGGUAGUCC
rnacentral:rRNA from 1 species